rnacentral:antisense_RNA from 1 species
CUUGACGGAGCCGAGCAGCAGCGGGGCGUCGGCGUGACGGCCCUGGCCGUAGGUGGCGAGCAGCGCGGUCGCCUC